rnacentral:rRNA from 1 species
GGAUAAUCGGGAGAAAUUCCGUCUAAUACGGCAUAAUGCAUCGACGGGACAUCCUGUUGGUGCCAAAGGUUGAUUCCGGUGGCGGAUGGGCAUGCGUCGCAUUAGUUAGUUGGCGGUGUAACGGACCACCAAGACGACGAUGCGUAGGGGUUCUGAGAGGAAGGUCCCCCACACUGGUACUGAGACACGGACCAGACUCCUACGGGAGGCAGCAGUGAGGAAUAUUGGUCAAUGGGCGGGAGCCUGAACCAGCCAAGUCGCGUGAGGGAUGACGGCCCUAUGGGUUGUAAACCUCUUUUGCCGGGGAGCAAAGUGCCGCACGUGUGCGGUUUGGAGAGUACCCGGAGAAAAAGCAUCGGCUAACUCCGUGCCAGCAGCCGCGGUAAUACGGAGGAUGCGAGCGUUAUCCGGAUUUAUUGGGUUUAAAGGGUGCGUAGGCGGACGCUUAAGUCAGCGGUAAAAUUGCGGGGCUCAACCUCGUCGAGCCGUUGAAACUAGGUGCCUUGAGUGGGCGAGAAGUACGCGGAAUGCGUGGUGUAGCGGUGAAAUGCAUAGAUAUCACGCAGAACUCCGAUUGCGAAGGCAGCGUACCGGCGCCCAACUGACGCUGAAGCACGAAGGCGUGGGUAUCGAACAGGAUUAGAUACCCUGGUAGUCCACGCAGUAAACGAUGAAUGGUAGUUGUCCGGGGCGAUUGAGUUCUGGGU